ACCUGACUGGCUUAGUCGGCAGAGCAUGUGACUCUUGAUCUCACUGUUGUGAGUUCAAGCCUUAUGUUGGGCA
rnacentral:tRNA from 1 species